UGGGGAAUAUUGCGCAAUGGGGGAAACCCUGGACGCAGCGACGCCGCGUGGGUGAUGAAGGCCUUCGGGUCGUAAAGCCCUGUCGGGAGGGAAGAAAGACUCCGGACCUAAUACGUCCGGGAAUUGACGGUACCUCCUAAGGAAGCACCGGCUAACUCCGUGCCAGCAGCCGCGGUAAUACGGAGGGUGCUAGCGUUGUUCGGAAUCACUGGGCGUAAAGGGCGUGUAGGCGGUCUGUUAAGUCUGAUGUGAAAUCCCCUCGCUCAACGAGGGAACUGCGUCGGAUACUGGCAGACUUGAGUACCGGAGAGGAAGGUGGAAUUCCCGGUGUAGCGGUGAAAUGCGUAGAUAUCGGAAGAACACCAGUGGCGAAGGCGGCUCACUGGACGUGUAUUGAUGCUGAGGUACGAAAGCGUGGGGAGCAAACAGGAUUAGAUACCAAGUAGUCCCUGAGCGGGCUGGCAAGGCGCGAU
rnacentral:rRNA from 1 species